rnacentral:tRNA from 2 species
GGGCCGGUAGCUUAGCCAGGCAGAGCGACGGACUCUUAAUCCGUAGGCCAGGGGUUCAACUCCCUUCCGGCUCGCCA